GAUGAACGCUGGCGGCGUGCCUAAUACAUGCAAGUCGAGCGAACAGACGAGGAGCUUGCUCCUUUGACGUUAGCGGCGGACGGGUGAGUAACACGUGGAUAACCUACCUAUAAGACUGGGAUAACUUCGGGAAACCGGAGCUAAUACCGGAUAAUAUAUUGAACCGCAUGGUUCAAUAGUGAAAGACGGUUUUGCUGUCACUUAUAGAUGGAUCCGCGCCGCAUUAGCUAGUUGGGAAGGUAACGGCUUACCAAGGCAACGAUGCGUAGCCGACCUGAGAGGGUGAUCGGCCACACUGGAGCUGAGACACGGUCCAGACUCCUACGGGAGGCAGCAGUAGGGAAUCUUCCGCAAUGGGCGAAAGCCUGACGGAGCAACGCCGCGUGAGUGAUGAAGGUCUUCGGAUCGUAAAACUCUGUUAUUAGGGAAGAACAAAUGUGUAAGUAACUGUGCACGUCUUGACGGUACCUAAUCAGAAAGCCACGGCUAACUACGUG
rnacentral:rRNA from 1 species